UCUUCACUUGGACACCAUAAAUGAGUUGAAGAGCAUGGUGUGUGCGCUGAAAGGGGGCUUAGAAGAAAGAAGUGCCCCUUCAAAGCAUCAAAAACCAGCCAUACUUGCACAUCCACACUCAUCGCAAGACAACCAGGUGGACCCCCUUGAGGAUGAUGUGACCAUUGCUGAUGGCGUUACAGUUAACAAAAUACAGCUUAUGCGAUGCAACCAUCAGAGACCUUCAAAACUUGUGUGUGAUCUGCUUGGGGGGAUGUUCACAAUGGAGGAGCUCCUUAACUGGAUUAAAGGGAGGUGCAUCAGAGAGUGUGAAUAAGAAGCAUGUCAAUGCCAUUUUUGGUAUGAUACUUCUUACAUUAUUUUGUAUUCAUUAUAUUGUGUACAGUUGUGUUAAUUGUCACUAAAUAUUUCUUUUUUAAU